rnacentral:rRNA from 1 species
UACGUAGGCAGCAAGCGUUGUUCGGAUUUACUGGGCGUAAAGGGCGCGUAGGCGGCAAUUCAAGUCAUCUGUGAAAUCUCCGGGCUUAACCCGGAACGGUCAGGUGAUACUGUUUUGCUAGAGUGCGGAAGGGGCAAUCGGAAUUCUCGGUGUAGCGGUGAAAUGCGUAGAUAUCGAGAGGAACACCAGAGGUGAAGACGGGUUGCUGGGCCGACACUGACGCUGACAGCGCGAAAGCCAGGGGAGCAAACGGG